rnacentral:rRNA from 1 species
UACGUAGGUGGCAAGCGUUGUCCGGAUUUAUUGGGCGUAAAGGGGGCGCAGGCGGUUUCUUAAGUCUGAUGUGAAAGCCCACGGCUCAACCGGGGAGGGUCAUUGGAAACUGGAAGACUUGAGUGCGAGAGAGAAGAGUGGAAUUCCAUGUGUAGCGGUGAAAUGCGUAGAUAUAUGGAGGAACACCAGUGGCGAAGGCGACUCUCUGGUCUGCAACUGACGCUGAGGCCCGAAAGCGUGGGUAGCAAACAGG